GGAAUAUUCCACAAUGGGGGGAACCCUGAUGGAGCGACGCCGCGUGAGUGAAGAAGGGCUUAGGCUCGUAAAGCUCUUUUAUCGCGGACGAAUGCUGUAUUGAAUACAGAGAGACGGUACUUGGUGAAUAAGCCACGGCUAACUACGUGCCAGCAGCCGCGGUAAUACGUAGGUGGCAAGCGUUAUCCGGAUUUAUUUGGCGUAAAGCGAGCGCAGGCGGUUUCUUAAGUCUGAUGUGAAAGCCUUCGGCUUAACCGAAGAAGUGCAUCGGAAACUGGGAAACUUGAGUGCAGAAGAGGACAGUGGAACUCCAUGUGUAGCGGUGAAAUGCGUAGAUAUAUGGAAGAACACCAGUGGCGAAGGCGGCUGUCUGGUCUGUAACUGACGCUGAGGCUCGAAAGCAUGGGUAGCGAACA
rnacentral:rRNA from 1 species